rnacentral:rRNA from 1 species
UACGUAGGGUCCGAGCGUUGUCCGGAAUUACUGGGCGUAAAGAGCUCGUAGGUGGUUUGUCGCGUUGUUCGUGAAAACUCACAGCUCAACUGUGGGCGUGCGGGCGAUACGGGCAGACUAGAGUACUGCAGGGGAGACUGGAAUUCCUGGUGUAGCGGUGGAAUGCGCAGAUAUCAGGAGGAACACCGGUGGCGAAGGCGGGUCUCUGGGCAGUGAACUGACGCUGGAGGAGCG